rnacentral:rRNA from 1 species
AUGGACUAUGCAACGGCACGAGGUUGGUCGUGCUCUGGAACGCGAGUUUUCCUGCCUAGGAUACCAUUAUGCCCCUCUGACGAUGACAUGUUUCCGUUCAGUUUUAAGAGGAAACAGUUUCCAGUCAGACUCAGCUUUGCAAUGACAAUAAGCAAAUCACAAGGGCAGACAAUACCAAAUGUCGGCAUCUACCUGCCUGAGCCCGUUUUCUCACAUGGUCAACUAUAUGUCGCACUAUCCAGAGCAACCGCGACAUCAAAUAUAAAGGUACUAACAGGUACACAUGAUGAGAGCAAGCAGCAGAAGAAAAAGAACAGCAUAGACAACACAUACACAAAGGGAGAAAAGAAAAAGAAAAAGGAUAGGACCAGCACAAGCGGGACAUAUACGAAAAAUAUUGUCUACAAGGAAGUCCUAACCAAAUAG